UAUAUUUUAAUGUAUGAUGCAUAAUAAAUUUUUGAAAUUUAAAGAUAUAGUUUAAUUCUAUAAUAUAUAA
rnacentral:tRNA from 1 species